UUAAUCCAUUUGCUGAAUUUCCAAAAGGAAAACGGGGGAACCAAUUCUUGGGGUGAAUCGCCUAAUGGCGUAGAGCAGUUUUUCAGCUCGAACCCGACAGCUAACCUCGUAAGCGUUGAAAGACACGAUAU
rnacentral:sRNA from 2 species